GUAUAGAGGGUGAAUUCUGCCCAAUGGUUGUACAGUGAAACUGAGGACUAACGUCUAAAGCGAAACCCAACUGAAUGGCCGCGGUAACUCUGACCGUGAUAAUGUAGCACAAUAAAUAGCCAAUUAAUUGUUGGCGGGUAUGAAUGGAACCACGAGGGUCUUACUGUCUCAAGAGGAAAGCCGAUGAAAUUAUAGUUGUAGUGAAGAUACUACAUAAACAUUGUAAGACGAAAAGACCCUAUCGAGCUUUACUGGAUACCGAUAGCGUUAACCGAAAAUGAUCGAUACUAAGUAUCCUAAUUUUGAGUUAAUAAUUUUUGUUGGUAGGACAGUUUAGUUGGGGCGACUACCUUUGAAUAAGAAACGAAGGCGAGCUUAUGGUAUACAAAGCUAAUCUCAUUAGCCUGACAGUGAGGGGGACACCCCUAGCUGGCACAAGGACUACGUCCUAUGUGGGCGAUAAUGACCCGAUAUGAUUGUCCAAAAUAAAUAUCGAAAGCGGAUAAAAGCUACCGUAGGGAUAACAGCGUAAUAUUGUCGGAGAGUUCUUAUCGAGGACAGUGUUUGCGACCUCGAUGUUGAAUUGCGGUGCCCUGGUGCUGUAGAGGGUACCUUAGGUUGGUC
rnacentral:rRNA from 1 species